rnacentral:snoRNA from 16 species
GUCGACGUACUUCAUAGGAUCAUUUCUAUAGGAAUCGUCACUCUUUGACUCUUCAAAAGAGCCACUGAAUCCAACUUGGUUGAUGAGCCGAAGAACCUUUGUACCCAAGAGUGAGAAAAAAGAAUGUAUUAUUAGCUUGGUCCACAACCCUUAGCGGUUUGGCCAUCUACUCCCACAUUUUUGCUUUGCCUUUUGCAUAUGGUUUGUGUAUGGAUAGAGAACUUAGCUUGGUGGUUUAGAAGUAGGAAUUUCGAUUCUAUGCUUUUUGAACUUACCGGCUUUUUUCUUGUUUUAACUCCUGCAUGAACCGCCUUUUAAUUGGCGCGAUGAUCUUUGCCCAGUUUGUGGACUUCUUCGUGAGGGGACAAACGUAUUGGGUGGGUACAAAUGGCAGUCUGACAAGU